rnacentral:rRNA from 1 species
AUUGAACGCUGGCGGCAGGCCUAACACAUGCAAGUCGAGCGGAUGAAGGGAGCUUGCUCCUGGAUUCAGCGGCGGACGGGUGAGUAAUGCCUAGGAAUCUGCCUGGUAGUGGGGGAUAACGUCCGGAAACGGGCGCUAAUACCGCAUACGUCCUGAGGGAGAAAGUGGGGGAUCUUUGGACCUCAAGCUAUCAGAUGAGCCUAGGUCGGAUUAGCUAGUUGGUGGGGUAAAGGCCUACCAAGGCGACGAUCCGUAACUGGUCUGAGAGGAUGAUCAGUCACACUGGAACUGAGACACGGUCCAGACUCCUACGGGAGGCAGCAGUGGGGAAUAUUGGACAAUGGGCGAAAGCCUGAUCCAGCCAUGCCGCGUGUGUGAAGAAGGUCUUCGGAUUGUAAAGCACUUUAAGUUGGGAGGAAGGGCAGUAAGUUAAUACCUUGCUGUUUUGACGGUACCAACAGAAUAAGCACCGGCUAACUUCGUG